rnacentral:rRNA from 1 species
UACGUAGGGUGCGAGCGUUAAUCGGAAUUACUGGGCGUAAAGCGUGCGCAGGCGGUUUUGUAAGACAGAGGUGAAAUCCCCGGGCUUAGCCUGGGAACUGCCUUUGUGACUGCAAGGCUUGAGUGCGGCAGAGGGGGAUGGAAUUCCGCGUGUAGCAGUGAAAUGCGUAGAUAUGCGGAGGAACACCGAUGGCGAAGGCAAUCCCCUGGGCCUGCACUGACGCUCAUGCACGAAAGCGUGGGGAGCGAACAGG